rnacentral:tRNA from 1 species
GUAGAAGUUAGUUUAAAUAAAAAAAUGGAAGCCUGUGGAGCUUUAGAUAACAUAAAGUUACUUUUACC